rnacentral:rRNA from 1 species
GCGAGUGAACAGGGAAGAGCCCAGCACCGAAGCCUGUGGCCAGUUGGCUACUAGGCAAUGUGGUGUUUAGGUCGUUCCUUGAGGGUGCUGCCUCACUCCAAGUCCAGCAAUGAGUACGGUAAUAUUGACUUGGCCCAGAGAGGGUGAAAGGCCCGUGGGAGUGAGGUCGCAGACAUGCCAGUGCCUUCCUGGAUAGACCUUGGAGUCGGGUUGUUUGUGAAUGCAGCCCAAAGUGGGUGGUAAACUCCAUCCAAGGCUAAAUACUAACACGAGUCCGAUAGCGAACAAGUACCGUGAGGGAAAGUUGAAAAGUACUUUGAAGAGAGAGUAAACAGUGCGUGAAACCGCUCAGAGGUAAACGGGUGGAGUUGAACUGUGAUCUCUGUGGAUUUAGCUGAUGAGCAUGCUUUGAGCUUGGUCAAAUUGGUUGUCAUUCGGAAUCUGCUUAGCCGCAGGUCCUUGCCUUCGGGUGGGGAUGCGCGAUGCAUUCAUCAGGUGCUGCGCGUUCUAUGUAUUUCGUACCUGCUCGUCAGUGCACUUUCACAGAGUGUUCACCACGACCGACAUCGGCUGUCUGGCUGUUGUGGUUAAACCGGCCUUACUUAGUCCUUGUGGCUUUGAAUUGUCGGGAUGGCAGGUGGCCCAAUUGACGUUCCUGUGGUUCGCUGCAGGUUUCCGGCCCUUGGGUGUUACUAGCUGACUACAUCGGUUCUGUGCAGUAUGUCGGAGACGGCGGCUUGUGGUACAUGCGUGCGUACUAGUUGGUUGGCGUGUCCGGGUUUGGUUGUUAUGUUGCUUGUGUUUACAGGCCUGAUGAUAGCCCGGGUUCGUUCGACUGGCAGUUGCGUGCGUAGUGC